UGAACCUGCGGAAGGAUCAUUGUUGAAAGCCAGUGGAAUGUCGGUGGACAUGUGGACUUGUCGCAACAUGUGCGGGGGCGCGCAUGGGGGAGCAUCCCUGCCAGUCGCUCGCGGUUGAUGGGGAUGCAUCGGGAAGCCCAUGCGAACCCCAAUGCAACACUUAAAUCAGCACGGAACGUGCAAAGGAAGCUCCAGGAGAAAACCUCACACCCCCCCCCCCCCACCAUAACCACCUUGCAAGGCCGGCGUGGGAGGUGGGUUGUGCGAACGUGAGAUAAUGACUCCCGACAAUGGAUAUCUCGGCUCCCGUAUCGAUGAAGAAUGCAGCGAAAUGCGAUACAUGGUGUGAAUUGCAGAAUCUCGUGAAUCAUUGAGUUUUUGAACGCAAGUUGCGCCCGAAGCUGUUUUUUGGUCGAGGGCACACCUGCCUGGGCGCCAUGCAUGGAGUUGUCCCAGGGGGCCUCGUUCUGCGCGAGACCAACUUAUUUGGUCGAUUUUCGGGGGACUACUGGGGUGGAUGCUGGCCUUCCGUUCCACGUUGUGCGGUUGGUUUAAAUUUGGGGUCCCGAUCGACAUGUGUCGUGGUGAGUUGUGGAAAACAACGUCUGUCCCGUGUUGGUUGGCGAGAACCCCCAUAGGGUCCCUGGGCCUCGUUGAUGGAGUGCGCAUCCAGUCCCC
rnacentral:misc_RNA from 1 species